rnacentral:rRNA from 1 species
UACGUAGGUGGCAAGCGUUGUCCGGAAUUAUUGGGCGUAAAGAGCGCGCAGGCGGUCAAAUAAGUCUGAUGUGAAAGACCACGGCUCAACCGUGGGAGGUCAUUGGAAACUGUUUGACUUGAGUACAGAAGAGAAGAGUGGAAUUCCACGUGUAGCGGUGGAAUGCGUAGAUAUGUGGAGGAACACCAGUGGCGAAGGCGACUCUUUGGUCUGUAACUGACGCUGAGGCGCGAAAGCGUGGGGAGCAAACAGG